rnacentral:rRNA from 1 species
UCGGGAAUAUUGCGCAAUGGAGGAAACUCUGACGCAGUGACGCCGCGUGCAGGAAGAAGGUUUUCGGAUUGUAAACUGCUUUAGACAGGGAAGAUGAUGACAGUACCUGUAGAAUAAGCUCCGGCUAACUACGUGCCAGCAGCCGCGGUAAUACGUAGGGAGCAAGCGUUAUCCGGAUUUAUUGGGUGUAAAGGGUGCGUAGACGGGAAGGCAAGUUGGUUGUGAAAUCCCUCGGCUUAACUGAGGAACUGCAACCAAAACUAUCUUUCUUGAGUGCUGGAGAGGAAAGUGGAAUUCCUAGUGUAGCGGUGAAAUGCGUAGAUAUUAGGAGGAACACCAGUGGCGAAGGCGACUUUCUGGACAGUAACUGACGUUGAGGCACGAAAGUGUGGGGAGCAAACAGG